UCCGAAGGGGGCUAGCGUUGUUCGGAAUUACUGGGCGUAAAGCGCACGUAGGCGGCUCGAUCAGUCAGGGGUGAAAUCCCAGGGCUCAACCCUGGAACUGCCUUUGAUACUGUCGAUCUGGAGUAUGGAAGAGGUGAGUGGAAUUCCGAGUGUAGAGGUGAAAUUCGUAGAUAUCGGGAGGAACACCAAUGGCGAAGGCAGCUUGCUGGGACGGUACUGACGCUGAGACGCGAAAGCGUGGGGAGCAAACAGG
rnacentral:rRNA from 1 species